CUUUAGUUAUAACACAGCUGGCUGUUUGGGGCAUUGGAUCCGGAAGCGGAAGUGCUCAUAGUUGGCUGGCGGUGCAUAGUGCGGGCAGCAGCAACACGGCAACAACGGCGGCCAGAAUUUUUUCACGUUUGGAUAGUGUCGAGGAGGUGCAACGCAGUCGCAGUGGCAGCGCUGUUGGAAUAACGCCCGGCGGUGGUGCAGUGGCAGCGGCAGCGGUGGCAGCGGGUUCACCAGCCAGAACCGGCGGUGGGGGAGUGGGCGCGGGCUUGGGCAAUGCGGCAGGAGCGCGUAAUCGCAGCGCCAGCACAAUACUCGAGCUCAGUCAGAGCCAACUAGGAGCGCAUACGCGCAAGUAUUCCAGCGGCGGCGGCGCAGCACUUCUCGCUGGCGAUGUGAAUGGGUACGGAGACAACGCGUCAACUGCGAAAUGCGAUACAUUUAAUGGCGUUGGAGCGAGUGCAGGUGCUGGUGCAGGUGUAGGUGUAGGUGCAGGUGUCGGUGUCGCUGGCGGUUCAGGUGUCGGUGUCGGUGUCGGUGUCAGUGGAGGAGCCGGUGCGGCAAGUAGAGCUGCACCGCAGGAUAGAAGCUCACUCGGAUCAGUCAAUGUGCCAGUCACAACAGUCAGCAGCUUGGGAAUAACUCUGCGCGAACGUUUGUCCAUCAGUGGCGCAUCAUCGGGUAACGAGUCAGGCGUUGCGGCUAGUGCGGGCGGCGGAGCUGGUGGCUCAGCGCCAACAAUAGGCGGCAGCAGCAAUACAAGUGUGCCACAUUGCAAGCGACAGGGCAGCUUCUCGAAUGUAUUCUCAAAGCUAAUCGAUGGUAUGCCCGCUGGCACAAUGUUCGCUAAGUUCAAAAGCGCCAACGUGGCGGCCUCCACAUCCGUGCAGAAUGUCGCCGAUGGCAAUCCCAUUACGCAGUACUUUGAGAUUGGCAAGCCGGUGGCCUGUGCCGGCCCAGAGCUCGUCUGGCGCAUACACGAUGGAUAUCGCAAGAGUGACAACAAGGAAUGUUCGAUUUUUAUAUUUGAGAAAAAAGUGGCAGAGAAACUGCACAAGCCGCGUCGCAAGGAGACCAUUACAGAGCUGCUAAAGAGCUCGGUAAAGACAUUGGAACGCUUUCGCCAUCCCCGGAUACUUCAAAUCUAUCACACUGUAGAGGAAAGUGCGGACACGCUGGCCUUUGCUGCUGAGCCCAUUUUCGCCAGCCUUUCAAAUGUGCUGGCUUUUCAUGAGUCGAAAACGUACGAGAAUGCCAGCGUGGCACCCGCAGCAGGUGGCGGGCCGGCGCAGGCACAGCCAGCUGCUGGGGCCCAGCCGCAACGGCCGGCGCAUGCAAAGGAAUACAAUUUCUUGGAUAUGGAGCUGAAAUAUGGAUUCUUGCAGCUAACAGAGGCUUUGUCCUAUUUGCACUAUUCCGGUCACGUAAUUCAUCGAAAUGUGUGUCCAUCCUCUAUACUAAUAACCAAGCGGGGCAUUUGGAAGCUGGCGGGCAUGGAGUAUGUGGAAAGAAUGAAUGAGACUGAUUUGAAUAGCUCAAUUCCUUGCCCGCCGUGGAGCAACAGGGUAUCAAAGAUGGCCCAGCCCAAUCUCGACUUUAUGGCACCCGAAACGCAGACCAGCUCGAAGUGCAGCCUGCUGAGCGACAUGUUCUCGCUGGGCAUGGUCAUCUGUGCGGUGUACAACAAUGGACGGCCACUCAUACAGGCGGGCAACUCAACAUCCAACUAUGCCAAGCAACUGGAAACGCUGGAUGACAAUGUGCACAAGCUAAUGCCGCGUCUGCCCAUCGCUCUGCAGGAGGCGACAUCUCGCAUGGCCAGCCGAGAUCCGACAGCGCGACCCACCGCUCAGCUGCUGCAGCUGAUCAAAUACUUUAUCGAUCCGGCUAUAAAUGCGCUGAAAUUCCUGGACGUGGUCAACAUGAAGGACACGCAGCAGAAGUCACAGUUCUACAAGACCACCUUGAUAGAGGCCAUGCCGCUGAUACCGCGCAAACUUUGGUGGCAGAACCUGUGGCCCAUGCUCAAGUCGGAGAUUAACAAUGGCGAGGUGCUCGCUGCUGUCCUGCAGCCCGUCAUGCUCUUCGUCCAGGAGGCGACGCACGCCGAGUACGAUGCCCUAAUGUCGUCCACAAUGAAGAUUGUCUACAAUACGCCAAAAUCCAUUCAGGCCAGCGUCACGAUACUCGAGAACUUGCACUUGAUAAUUGAGAAGACGAAACCCGAGGAUGUCACCACAGAUAUAAUGCCGAUGUUAUUCUUUUCAUUUGACGGAUCCACAAUACAAGUGCAGAUAUGCAAAUUAGUUCGAGCCGGAGCGAGUCACACACAGAGGAAGUGAGAAGGUUAUGAAGGGAGUGGGAGGUGUAGAAUGGGUUGACAAGUCAACAGAGUUGGCAUUUGCCUUAGCGUUGAUUGCCUCGGUUGCCACUUCAAAUUUAUUGCCAACGAAAGUAAUUUUACCUUUUGCGCCUGAGCACCUCCGAGCACUAAAGACAAGGCCAGGCCCGGCCCGGCCCAGCCAGGCCAGUGUAGAGCACUCGAAACUCGAGCAUUUAAAGUCGUUUGUAAAUUGAAAUGGAAACCACUUCUGCGGCAUGCCAGACAGUACUCAAAUCGAACAAG
rnacentral:misc_RNA from 1 species